UUUGACGUUAGCGACAGAAGAAGCACCGGCUAACUCCGUGCCAGCAGCCGCGGUAAUACGGAGGGUGCGAGCGUUAAUCGGAAUUACUGGGCGUAAAGCGCAUGCAGGUGGUUUGUUAAGUCAGAUGUGAAAGCCCGGGGCUCAACCUCGGAAUUGCAUUUGAAACUGGCAGACUAGAGUACUGUAGAGGGGGGUAGAAUUUCAGGUGUAGCGGUGAAAUGCGUAGAGAUCUGAAGGAAUACCGGUGGCGAAGGCGGCCCCCUGGACAGAUACUGACACUCAGAUGCGAAAGCGUGGGGAGCAAACAGGAUUAGAUACCCUGGUAGUCCACGCCGUAAACGAUGUCUACUUGGAGGUUGUGGCCUUGAGCCGUGGCUUUCGGAGCUAACGCGUUAAGUAGACCGCCUGGGGAGUACGGUCGCAAGAUUAAAACUCAAAUGAAUUGACGGGGGCCCGCACAAGCGGUGGAGCAUGUGG
rnacentral:rRNA from 1 species